rnacentral:lncRNA from 1 species
UUGGGCUGAAAUGAUGUGUAAGUUUUUAACCGGCACUGAUGUUCCUCUGUGCAGGCUUCAAGUCUGGGAUCAUCAAGGGAUGUGAAUGAAGGUCUGUGGCAUCUGGGGUGAGUACCAGUCUGUGGAGAGUUCAGGAUGUGGAGUGACAGGAGGAGCCAGCUGUGUUUUGGUUCUGCAAGGUCCUUCCACGCAUCUGCAUUCCAGCCCUUCCAGAUGUUGAAGUGGCAGCCCCAGGUUGGGGUCAGAGCAAGCUGAGCAUCUUCUUGGUGGACCUACCACCCCUUCCCAUCGCACCUCUGAGUUCAGCGUUACCUGUGUCCGUCCUCUCAGUGCACCAGAAACCUGUUGGAGGAGUGGAGCUGCGGGACAACCUGGCAGCAGGAAGAGGAGAAAAAUUUUGAGAACAUUCUGUUCAGUCUUCAGUCUCACUGAUGCUGAGAUUCUGCAAAUUCUUUCCAUAUCAGACCACAAGCUGGUAGUUCUGGUCUUCACUCUGGUGUUAAGGCAGCUGGGUCACACUGUCCUCUGAGGCUGUAGUAUCUUCGAGGAGCUGUUCUGUGUGAAACCGUUCAGAUGAUUUUUCUUUUGGUAACGUGUAUUAAUGCUGCAAUGACCGCUGCUAGAAACUCCAAGCAGAAGAACUGCAACUGUCCGCUCGGCACCCAGCGCACUCCUGAGUGCACAGGAGGCUUCGGCUGCACAUCCCCGGAUCUUCUGAAGGCACCUGAUAACUCAAGAUAUUCUCUGAUUUCCCAGUCCUACAGCAAGUUCUACACCACAGCUGUAUCAGAGAAGCACUGGGAACAGGCUUUGGGCUCAUCGAGGUCUCAUCUGGCAGUGUGUCCUAGGUAGGCGGUAGAUAAUUUUUUCAUUAGUUUAUAAUUUCAUUGAAGAACUUGAGAAUAAAUAUU